UACGGAGGGGGCUAGCGUUGUUCGGAAUACUGGGCGUAAAGCGCGUGUAGGCAGCUUGGCAAGUCGGGUGUGAAAGCCCUGGGCUCAACCUAGGAAGUGCACUCGAAACUGCUUCGCUUGAGUAUCGGAGAGGAAAGCGGAAUUCUCGGUGUAGAGGUGAAAUUCGUAGAUAUUCGCAAGAACACCAGUGGCGAAGGCGGCUCACUGGCCCGAUACUGACGCUGAGGCACGAAAGCGUGGGAGCAAACAGGG
rnacentral:rRNA from 1 species